rnacentral:rRNA from 1 species
UACGGAGGGUGCGAGCGUUGUCCGGAAUCACUGGGCGUAAAGGGCGCGUAGGCGGCACGACAAGUCAACGGUGAAAGCUCGGGGCUCAACCCCGAGUCGGCCGUCGAUACUGUUGGGCUGGAGCACUGUAGAGGCAGGUGGAAUUCCGGGUGUAGCGGUGGAAUGCGUAGAGAUCCGGAGGAACACCAGUGGCGAAGGCGACACACUGGGCCGUACCUGACACUAAGACGCGACAGCAUGGGGAGCGAACGGG